rnacentral:lncRNA from 1 species
GUAGGAUGAGUUUCUUGGUUUGAUUGUGGUUGAGUAUUAAUUUAUUUUGGAGUAAUUGAUUAAGCUUUUCUUUUUUAAAUUAGUAUCAAUAUCAAUUAAAAUAAAAGCAAAGCGGAUGUAAAAAUAUUCAACAAAUUAUUAAAACAUCCCGGUAAAAAUGCCACAUCAACUUACUUUUAAGACACAUCACCAAAAUUAACUCAUAUUUCAUGUUUUGGACUAAAGUGACCAACGAAAUUAAACUUUUUUAUCAUGUGUAUGAAAAUUUCAGGUGGAC